CAAACUACGGGUGAGAAAAAGAA
rnacentral:piRNA from 1 species